AAUCCAUGUAUAGGUCACUUUCGCAACAAUUCUUUAAAUCUUUCCCAUGCUUCAUACAAGCUUUUAUCUUCUAACAACUUGAAUGAAGUAAAAUCAUUUCGAAGCUU